rnacentral:lncRNA from 1 species
CAAUAAUGUACAGCAAAGUAAGAUUUACAAAUAAGUCAAAUGACUGAAAUGGUCAAUUGACACCCUAAGGAGUUAUUGUCCUUUAUAGUCAAUUUUUAACAAUUUUUAUAAAAUUUGUAAAUUUUUACUAACAUUUUCCACUGAAACUACUUGGCAAAGUUCAUUAUAGACAGAGAUAACUGUAAGCAGCAAGAAUGUUCAGUAAAGUAAGACGUACAAACACAUCAC